rnacentral:lncRNA from 1 species
CUGAGGGCGAGAGAGUUCUGGGCAGUCAUGGCAACUGUUGCCAAGGGAAUCGGAAUGUUGGGAAAGUGACAAUGGGGCAGUUAGGCAGGGGAAGGGGGAAGAGAAGAGAAGAGCAGGAAGAGUGGGCUAGGAAGGAAGAAGAAAGUGUUGCUGUGAGUUUGUGAAGCACAUUCAGUGAGGGGACCCUGCAGCCAAGUUCCAGGUGUGACUGUGGUAGAUAGAGGCAGGGAGGAAAAAUAAUGGCAGGAGAGAGAAGAGCUGUAAGGUGAAUUGGGAUUUGGCUAGCAGCGAUGCCAAGGAGCUACAUCACAUUCACAGGAAUAGCCAGGGGACGUCACAACAUCCUAAGGAACUGGACUGGGGGAAAUGACUGCAGUAUUAGUUUAUUGCACAAGACAGGAUUUGGUAUUGUAAGGGCA